rnacentral:lncRNA from 1 species
UGACUAAAUAAAAUAUAAAAAAUAAUUAUCUAUUUUGUAUCUCACAAUGCUCUCCAUCUCUUAUUUAUUCAUAAAUUCCUUUCCUAUCCAUAAAUAUGAUAGAGAAUAUCUUUUAUUCUUCUAAUUUGCUCAUGGCAUCUCCUUUUAUAUCUAAAUCAUGUACCCAUUUUGAUCUUAUCUUAGUGAAUGGUUUAAAUUAUUUAUAUUUAGUUUUUGUCAAAUUAUUUUCCAGUUGUCCCAGAAAUUUCUAUCAAAUAAUGAUUUUUAUUCAAAUAGGCUUGAUCUAUAAUUUUGUGAAAUACAAGGAUAUUAUAAACUUUUACUACUGUUCAUUGUAUAUCUGUUCUGUUUCACCUUUCUAUUUCUUAGCCAGUACCAGAUAGGUCUGAUAAUUACUUCUUAAUGAUAGUUUAAAAAUUUAAUGAUGGUAGAUAUACCUGCUUUAGGUUUUCCCCAUUAAUUAUUUUGCUAUUCUUGAGACAUCAUUAAUUUUUAAGAAGCUUCUCUCCCUUACAUGAAACUUUUAUUUGCCAUUUACAUGAACUAUGAAGUGAUGAAGAGUGGAAUUUAUAAAAUAGUAGAGCAAUAUAUGAAAUGACUACUAUAAUGUGAACAAACAUAUUAAAAUUCAUUUUCCAUCAGCCAUGCCACUUGGUUUUGACUCCUUGAACAUGAUUCAUGAUCAUCAGAAAUCUCAUCAUCAUGCACACUGACUCAAUUUUGGAUAGAUACAACUUUUUUAGGAACCUUCAGUCUUCUCUCCCAUCUGGAUAAACAGAGGACAAAACAUAAAUUCUUCCCAAACACUUCUUAACAAUUUUCUAUGUAACCUUCCUUUUACUGUGAGGAGAUCUUGUUUUCAGCACUAUGAAUAUCAUGUCAUUCAAUAUGGUACUCUCUUAUAGCUUCUUCCCUAUCCACUCCCCCUUUGAGCUUCCAUUUGGGAAUUGCUUUCUUUCAUAAGAUUAUAAGUUCCUUGAGAACAGGAACUCUUUUCUCUUAUUUGUAUACCCAAAACUUAGUACAGCCCCUAGUAUACUUUAUAAUUACUAAACAUUCAUCAAUGCAUAACUCUUUUGCCUUCAAAUUUGCUUUUAAAAUUCACAUAAUUUAUUAAAAAACAUAUAAUUUUAUAUUUCAAAGUAACUUAGGUGAUAUGUGCAAAUCCUCUCUUUUGGCUUUCAUUAUUGUUGCCUUUGGCUUAUUACAUCUCAGUCAUUUCUUGUCAUUCACAAACCGCCUUUCACUCCAUUUCAUAUUCUGUAAGUGAUUCAGAGAUGCCCUCAUUAAUAUGAGUUUUGGCAUCCAUUUCAACAGAUUUCAAGGCACAUCUUUUUUAGUUCAUCUUCCAUGAAUGUAUGUAUUUACUCUAGCAUCUUGUUU